GGGGGUAUAGCUCAGUUGGCUAGAGCGUUUGACUGGCAGUCAAGAGGUCAGGGGUUCGAUUCCCCUUACCUCCA
rnacentral:tRNA from 2 species